GCCAGGUAGCUCAGCGGUAGAGUGCUCACCUAACUUGCAAGAGGACCUGGGUUCGAUCCCCAUGAACCAGGGA
rnacentral:tRNA from 1 species